rnacentral:rRNA from 1 species
CUGCUGCCUCCCGUAGGAGUCUGGACCGUGUCUCAGUUCCAGUGUGGCUGGUCAUCCUCUCAGACCAGCUAGGGAUCGUCGCCUAGGUGAGCCGUUACCCCACCUACUAGCUAAUCCCAUCUGGGCACAUCCGAUGGCAAGAGGCCCGAAGGUCCCCCUCUUUGGUCUUGCGACGUUAUGCGGUAUUAGCUACCGUUUCCAGUAGUUAUCCCCCUCCAUCAGGCAGUUUCCCAGACAUUACUCAUCCGUCCG